CAGUUCGUGAAAUUUCUUCCCUGCUAGAUAUUCCACGGUCAACUGUAAGUAAUAUUAUUGCAAAGUGGAAACGAUUAGGAACAACGGAAACUCAGCCACGAAGUGGCAGACCACGUAAAGUAACAGCUCGGGGUCGCCCAGUGCUGAGCCGCAUAGUGAGUAAAAGUCACCAACGCUCUGUUGACUCAAUAACUGCAGAGUUCCAAACCUCCUCUGGCAUUAACCUCAGCACAAGAACUGUGCGCCGGGAGCUUCAUGGAAUGGGCUUCCAUGACCGAGAAGCUGUAUGCAAACCUCACAUCACCAAGCGCAACGCCAAGAGUCCAGGGCUGCCACGAGUCGUCGACGUAGGCGAAGGCGUCAAUGCUGGAAGUCCUGAAGAGGAGUAUGUGAAACUACUGGAUGACAUGGGCCUUGCAAGGACGGAAAAAAGUACAGAGGAGGUCAUAGAGAACAAGGACAAGGAUUUAACAGAAUUGUUGGAUUUCGCUGAAUGAUUCUAGGUCUUGAGGAUCUAUACAUGCUGUUUCACGGGAAACAGUGUAAAGUCAGAUCAUUCAUAAUUGAAGGAAAUGUAUGUCUGAGAAGAGCACCUGUUUCCCCUCAUUCUGAAUGUUAAUUCAGAGGGAUUUGUGGAUUUUUUUUGUAUUAAACUACAACUAGCUGGCUGGAUUUGUCACCCCUUUACCAAUAUAACUGCAGGUCAGGGUCAUGUGGACUAUUUGGUUCAAAAAUAUGCUGAAACAUAAAACAUUUCUUGUGUUUUUUUUGAGCAGAGCUAUAAUGUUCGUAAUGUAUACUAAAUUCCAAGGUUCAGAUAGAGACCAGAAGGUGUGGGUGUGGUUUGAUACAUGGAUAAAUGACCUGGAUGUCUUUUGCUUGGUUUUUGAGAGUGACCAUGCAUUAUAAUAACACAUCAUUUCUGCCAGCCCAUACCUGCAUGUCUUAAAAAAUGGCAGCAAUAAGUGGAAAUAAGAUGUAUGAUAUGUAUUUCAGCUAUUUUUUUUUAAACAGUUAUAUACUAUUGUAACUUUUCUAUAAAAACUAAAUUGUUCAGGUUAUCAUUCACUGACUUCCUUGAUUUCAUUCAGGAUCAAGUGUCUUUAUAUUAAAUUUACACUGAAUAAAAUCCUGUGUUCCUGGAGUUAUGGGAUGUCAAAGUGCCCCACAGCCAGUUUCAGUAAAGUGAAGUUAUGGGUAUACAGGCAGUGUUUAAGCCGCAGCAACCUUUGCAAUGCUGUAAAUCUGAUAAAAACAAUGGAGUUUUCUGUAUUUUUUUCUGAGUGUGCGGAUACCUAGUAACUCCUAUAUAUAAUGCAAAAUAUUUUAUAUACACAAUUUAUAUACACCGUAUAAAAUCAAUCUUUUAACUAUUUUACCACUAAUACUUCAUUUGUUCCAAUAAAGAAAUAUUCCAUGCUUCUCAUAAUAUUUAGUUCUAAACGUGGUGUAUUUUUCUUUUUCUCCGCAUGCCUUGAAAGACGUAAAAUGAAGAGUGCAUCUGGACUUUUAAAUUUCGGAAAGAAACACCGGAAAUGACACACAGGAAGUCUAAUUGUUGUUAGAAUAUCGAAACAUCACAGAUCCAGGACCGCCAUUAGAGGGUUGCGGAUAGGGUGUGUGAAUGUUUGCUGAAGAAGUAAGACAUUUCCUCCCACACUGGCAGUGAGCCCCAACUUCCCAUGUGUUUCGAAUGGAAUGAUGUGGAUUUAUUCGUUUUUGUGGGACUGUUGCACGCUGGGCGAAGCUAAUUUUUCUCUCCAUUCAACUCGUGGGAAGCAGCCUCCACAGUGGUUGUCCUGAAUUGGAGCAAUAAGCAUACAGAUCUCUCAAUGACAAUGGAAUCCUAGUCGCCUUUUCUCUCUCUUGAGUGGAUAUUUUGGAACUGUGUGGUUUCCCUCCAACAUUUUUCAUUUUGAUGUUACUUCUGUUGUUGAUUAGAACUCUUAGUUUUUCUUGCUGUCAUUAAGUUUUUCUGCAAUUUUAGCAAUUUUGUCUGUGGUUGUAAUGUGACUUUUUAAUGUAUUGAUGUGUAUGUAUAACCAUUAUUUCAAUUAAAAUUAUUUUAUACAU